GUGGGGAAUCUUGCGCAAUGGGCGAAAGCCUGACGCAGCCAUGCCGCGUGACUGAUGAAGGUCUUAGGAUUGUAAAAUUCUUUCACCGGGGACGAUAAUGACGGUACCCGGAGAAGAAGCUCCGGCUAACUUCGUGCCAGCAGCCGCGGUAAUACGAAGGGGGCUAGCGUUGCUCGGAAUUACUGGGCGUAAAGGGCGCGUAGGCUGACAGAUUAGGAAGAGGUGAAAGCCCAGGGCUCAACCUUGGAAUUGCCUUUGAUACUGGCGGUAUUGAGUUUGGGAGAGGUGAGUGGAACUCCGAGUGUAGAGGUGAAAUUCGUAGAUAUUCGGAAGAACACCAGUGGCGAAGGCGACUCACUGGCCCAAUACUGACGCUGAGGCGCGAAAGCGUGGGGAGCAAACAGGAUUAGAAACCCUGGUAGUCC
rnacentral:rRNA from 1 species